GAUGAACGCUGGCGGCGUGCCUAAUACAUGCAAGUCGAGCGAACGGACGAGAAGUUUGCUUCUUUGAUGUUAGCGGCGGACGGGUGUGUAACACGUGGAUAAUCUACUUAUAAGUCUGGGAUCACUUCGGGAAACCGGCGCUAAUACCGGAUAAUCUUUUGCACCGUAUGGUUCAAAAGUGAAAGACGGUCUUGCUGUCACUUAUAGAUGGAUCCGCGCUGCAUUAGCUAGUUGGUACGGUAACGGCUUACCAAGGCAACGAUGCAUAGCCGACCUGAGGGAGUGGUCGGCCACACUGGAACUGAAACACGGUCCAGACUCCUGCGGGAGGCAGCAGUAGGGAAUCUUCCGCAAUAGGCGAAAACCUGACGGAGCAGCGCCGCGUGAGUGAUGAAGGUCUUCGGAUCGUAAAACUCUGUUAUUAGGGAAAAACAUAUGUGUAAGUAACUGUGCACAUCGUGACGGUACCGAAUCAGAAAGCCACGGCUAACUACGUG
rnacentral:rRNA from 1 species